rnacentral:rRNA from 2 species
AGACCCGAAACCCGGUGAUCUAGCCAUGGGCAGGUUGAAGGUUGGGUAACACUAACUGGAGGACCGAACCGACUAAUGUUGAAAAAUUAGCGGAUGACCUGUGGCUGGGGGUGAAAGGCCAAUCAAACCGGGAGAUAGCUGGUUCUCCCCGAAAGCUAUUUAGGUAGCGCCUCGUGAAUUCAUCUCCGGGGGUAGAGCACUGUUUCGGCUAGGGGGCCAUCCCGGCUUACCAACCCGAUGCAAACUGCGAAUACCGGAGAAUGUUAUCACGGGAGACACACGGCGGGUGCUAACGUCCGUCGUGAAGAGGGAAACAACCCAGACCGCCAGCUAAGGUCC